GUGAAACAUUGCAAAGCCAUUUCUUGUUUGUUUUUUUUUAAAUAAACUAUAUUUUAGACUUGUGCGCGGUGAAAAAUUGUGAUUCGGCUGAAUAACUUUAUGUGAAAACAAAUGAGUUUGGGUAGUUCGAUAGUCGUCCAUGUGGAGUUUCGGCUUGCCCAAUUAUCGUGCCUGCAAAAUACUCAGAUAAACCAAAAAGGCGAGAAAAUGGGCCAAUCAG